rnacentral:rRNA from 1 species
AGUGAACGCUGGCGGUAGGCCUAACACAUGCAAGUCGAACGGCAGCACAGUAAGAGCUUGCUCUUACGGGUGGCGAGUGGCGGAAGGGAGAGGAAUACAUCGGAAUCUACUUUUUCGUGGGGGAUAACGUAGGGAAACUUACGCUCAUACCGCAUACGACCUACGGGUGAAAGCAGGGGAUCUUCGGACCUUGCGCGAUUGAAUGAGCCGAUGUCGGAUUAGCUAGUUGGCGGGGUAAAGGCCCACCGAGGCGACGAUCCGUAGCCGGUCUGAGAGGAGGAACAGCCACACAGGAACUGAGACACGGUCCAGACUCCUACGUGAGGCAGCAGUUGGGAAUGGUGGACAAAGGGCGCAAUCCUGAUCCAGCCAUACCGCGUGGGUGAAGAAGGCCUGCGUGUUGUAAAGCCCUUUUGGUGGGAAAGAAAAGCAGCAGGUUAAUACCCCGCUGUGCUGACGGUACCCAAAGAAGAAGCACCGGCUAACUUCGU